rnacentral:pre_miRNA from 1 species
GAUUUCAAUUGAAAAAGUCAUCAACAACAAAGUUGAAUAACUCAUCAAGAUCUAAAACUUUUACUUUUGUUAUUUCUUCAUCCGACGAAAUGUUAGUAAUAUUAUUCACAAAUUUUACAUAUAUGUGUUAUAGUUUAUAAAACCAGAUAAGAGAUAUGUCAAUUUUAUGAACAAUAUUACUAUCACUUUGUCGUAUGAAGAAAUGACCAAAAUAAAAGUUUUAGAUCUUGAUGAGUUAUUCAACUUUGUUGUUGAUGACUUUUUCAGUUGAUAUC